CCUGGUGGCUGCAGUGGCAGGUUGGCGUGGCUGGGUGCAGGAGGACAUUCCUAAAAGCUGUGGGCAAGCGCGGUUGUGGACAGGAGUGAUCGCGCUGCGGCUGGUACCUGGAUGUGGAGUAUAGCCGCAGGGAUUGCACCAGUGGCUGCCCCUCCUCCUCUACUCCGGAUAGCACGGCGCGUUGCCGGCACGGAUACAGGUGGCGACUCGGCGAAGUGAUCAUCGGCAGCCCUGCUGUUCUGGCGUGCCUGGACUGAUUACGCUGGACGGAUUACACUGGACUUGUGGCGCUGAAGUUUACCUUUUCUUUGUUGUCCUGCUUGAUGGCGUAUUUCUAUUAGAUUUUAGUAUAACUGUCGGUGGCGUACUUUUAAUUCUGUGUUUUGUGUACAGGUACUGUGGGCUCCGAGCAACAUUCCCCUUCCUGGUGGUGGUCGUUUGAGCACGGUUGAUGUGUCUACACUGGUGGUUUGGUUUGAGUUUGUCUUGUUUUCCCCUAUUUGGUUAAUGUUGGGAAUGGUUGCCCUCCCCACAACCUGUGUCUUUAGUUUUAUUGUUAAAUACCCGCCGACAGUUCAUUUUACUUUGAUUGUUUAAAUAAAGAUUAUUGUGAAUUGGAACGGACUCUGCUCAUGAUAUCAACCUAGCUCUUACUUUUAAGAGCUAGAAGGUUCCCGGGGGUGAAAUUCCCCUGGGUGGCGUU